AGUCAGCCGGGAGCUCCAGGGAGGAGGCCUUUGGGGGACCAGGGAGGGAGAGGUCCCCCUGCCCCUGCUGGUCUCCUCCUCUCUUCUAUCCGAGCUCGGCGGAACUCAAACGAGCUGCCUGCAUGCGGCGGCAUCUGCUGCGAGAGAGGCUUGGAGAUGCCGUGAUCUGGGUUGUCGAUCAGUUGGCGGCAUUGGCGCCGGUCACCGGAGCUCGGAUGGAAGCAGAAGGAGAAAAAAAAAACGGGUCAUGUGGCUAGCAGCUUCUGUUUUUUACUUCCACUAUGGUCGAUUGCUGUUGUAGAUUAACUGCUUUGUUGGGAGAGGACGGACUUGUAAAACGUGUUUUUGCAGGAUCUAGCUCCCACUUCGCUCCUAAGAUUUCUUUGUGCUCGCAAAAGUGAUGUCUUUGAUGUGGCCUCAUUCAUGUUUCA